UAUGAAGAACAGCAAACAAAAAUCAAGGAAUAGCAGAGUAAACUAGGGGCUUCCCAGGUGCUGCUACCGGUAAAGAAUCCAACAGCCAAUGGAGGAGACACAGAAGAAAGCCAGAAAGGUGAGAGUGGUACCCCUCUGGGGUGAGAUUCCAGAGUGGGAAGUUUCAGCUUUACUCCUUGUAAAGUUUCAAAUGUAACUGUAAAAAUUUUUUAAUUAAGAAUUAUUUCUUGUUUUAUUAUCUUUUUUUCCAUAAAACACAUCUUGGUAUGAAAACCAGAAAUCAAACGGUUGCUUCAAAAAAAUCUGUAUUAUUCUAAACUUUGACAUAACUGAGGAUGAAACUGAGAAAAAUACUUCAGACUGAAUCUUCUUUGGAAAGGCACACUGCUUUUGUUGGUAAUGGAAAACUAAUGGCUGUAAGGGCCAAAUAUGACUCCUAGGUUCGGAGAGAAUAGAAAGAAAAGUCUUCACUUAAAGUUAAAAGACUCAUUAUGGAGCCUUGGCACUAAAAAUCCUUCUGUGGUUUACAAAAAAUAAGAGAAGAUUAUAUAUUGAAGUGGAGAAAGAUGAAGCUAGGCCAAAGGUAUAGUUAAAAAAAGUGUUUUUUAAUUGCUCCUUUCUGGGGUCGCACAGAGUCGGACACGACUGAAAUGAC
rnacentral:lncRNA from 1 species